CCUGGCCGUCGUUCGUCGCCAUCGCCGCUCCGCUUCCGUCCACCACCACUUCGUUCCUCUUCUCCUUGCAAGGGUAAAAAGGUUUCAAAGUAAGGUAACUGCUUGGAGAAAAGAGCUUUGCUGGAAGUGUUAGGCAGGAGGUAUCUUUGGAGUUAAUAUAUUGAUUAUCAAGGAGGUUUCAUGUAGGAUUUAUUCUCUAUGGGUUGUGAAAGUCCAAAGCAAGCAGAGACCAGAAUGUGGUAAAAUGUGGAAAGGAUGAGCUUAAUGGAUAUUGAUUAAAGGUGGAGCAUUUAACUUAAACGAUUCUUUAUAUAUUUAUCAGAGGAGUUUUUUAUGAGCACUUGUGUAGAUUUGCCGUAAACAUGUUCUAUGCAUCUUAUCAACCUGUUGAAUUUUUUUAUUUAGUAACUAAAGCUAACUAGCAGAGGUUUAAAUCUAUUCUAUUGCAUUUGAGUGGUUUUAACGUGUCCAACCAUUGAUGAGUCAAAUGCGUGACUUUUUGUUGGAUGUUGCUCUCAAAUUGCUUUUUGAAAUUGUUCAAG